rnacentral:ncRNA from 1 species
UAUAUUUGCCGCUCGAAAGAAGCACUUUCGUAUACAUAAAAAUCAUUAAAAAUAAUAUUCGAAUG